UCUAGGAUUUGUGACCGAGUUAGGAUUGGCGGCAAGGGAUUUGGGGUGAGUACCUCUGGUUUUUUUUCUUUAGUUGUUUUCAUUUUGCAUUUUGCAAUUUCAGGUUACAUAUUGUAUCUCGUUUUGAUUUUUCUUUUAGUUUGAUGUUUGUAUUUAGAGAAGUCAUAGGUAAUCUUUUUUUUGCAACUCAAUAAUGCAAAUUCUUGAAUUUUUUUCUUUCAAUUUGCUGUUUUCUAGGUGAAUCAUUGGUAUUUUGUUGUUUGCAAUCCAAUAAUACAAUUUAUAAUGUUCAAUAUGCUAUUUGCAGUUCACGGAGUCAUUGAUAUGAUCCUAACUAGCUCCAACACGAAGAAUUGGAAGAAGAGAAAGCGUGCGAAUUUGUUGGACAAAUCGAAUUCCAUGCAUCCGAGAUUCUCGCCUAUUUCUGGCAGUUUUACCAUUCGGGGUAUAACUCUCUUAUCUGAAGUCCAAUUACGGUCAUUCGAAAUGCUACGAAAAGCCAACUUAAAGAUCUAAAACUUUCAUGUUUUCAUCCGAGAGAGAUUCGGAUUGGAAGAGGUCAGAAAUCGAGCUUGAAGUCAAGACACGUGCACAGCCAAAUGUCUACUCGAGUUAUGAAGAAUGUUCGUGUCGUCGACUUAAUAUUUGGAGUUUAGAUUUUAUUAAAUUACGUUUUUAUUUUG
rnacentral:lncRNA from 1 species